UUUUUCUUUGGUUCCCACUCCUUGUGUCAGUCAGCACCGCGUGCUCACCACUAUCUGUUGAACCCGAGAUCCAAUCGGUGGAAAGCUUCUCAAAAAAACUCACCCUCGUCCCCCGUUGCCCCCCGCGCACUGCCACCUCGCGCAGCCACCCCCUCCACCCCACACCGCCGCCGCCCCGCCGCACAUCCCGCACCGCUGCUGCCCUUUGUGCGGUUCGCCGCGGCAAAGCAGAUGUCGGCCUUGACUGGCGGGCGAGCUCGGCCGCGACUCAUGACGACGCCGCGGGCAGAGCUCGGCCGCGACCGACUCCUCCCCGAACAAGCUCGGCCGCAGCUCCCGCCGUGCAGACUCCCGACGCAUGGCUGGGUGGUGGUGGCCGGUGGUGGCUCCCCUACUCGCGGCCCUGCUCCCCUGCAGCGGCGGAACCCCAGCCCACCUCGGCCUCGUCGGCGUGGGCGUCGAGCUCGAGCAGAUCCGCCGCGCCGAGCUUCUCCAGGUGCUCGAGCGGAUCUGGGUAGCGGAUCCGCACCCCCCUCCUCGGCGCUCGAGCUCGGCCGGCUCCGGGCGCUCCCUCCCUCCCCAGCCUCCAGCGCGCGGCCUUCCCUCCCCACGCCUUCCUCCGCGGCUGCCGGCGAGCCGCACCGCCCCACGCCUCCUACUCGCUCCCCCCUAGCCUCCUGUGCUUCGGCUCCCCCCUGGCCGUGGGCUCGCGGCAGCCAGGCUUGGCGGCGGCGCGCGGAUGCGUCCGCUGGCGCGGCGGCCGGGCCAGGCAGCGGCGCUCGGGGGCGCCGCGCCGAGCCAGCGGACGCGCGGCGGCCGGGCGUGUUGGGCCCUCCUCUGCUCCGGCGGACGGGGAGCUCGGCUCCAUGUCCAACCGCCGUGCGAGCAGGGCGGACGCGCGCGGCGCGGCGCCCAGGCUGCGGCAGCGAACGGCGGGCGGGGCGGAGGCCAGCCCAUGGCGGCGCUGCUUGCGGCGGAGUGGUGGCCCCGCCCCCGAUGGUGGGCUCCCCCGUCCCUGCCCUUGUCGCCGACGGCCGAGCUCCGCGCGCGGGGGCGCCCGCCCGUCCCUCCCAUGCCCCGGCCACGGCGCGUGCGCAACAUUGCCGCCGCUCCAUUUCUUCCACAGAAUGGCUGCCAGGAUCGAUUUCCCGCGUGCGUUUGCAUUGGUUAUAAUAGAUUUGAUUUACUUGCUGCAUCUCCAUGAUUUUUAGGAAAUGAAGAGUGUUAAAUCCUCUGAAUUCUGUGGGUUUUGAUUUGCAAAACUGAAUCUAAUAAAUCAUGAUUCUCCCUGCUGGUCUCUUUUCCCCGUCUCUUCUUCCAUUCUUCAAUUCUUCCUGUCCUUGACUUCUGCAGUGUUAUAUUGCUGUCGUUACUUUCCCCUUUUACGAUCUGUGGUACUAAUGAAUAAAACCUUGAUUUCUUUGUAUUAACUUUUUUUAAUGUUAACACUUACAGUAUCUAAUGUCUUAACUCCCAGAUACUUCGCAGUUGAGAACAAAGUGCUGCUGUCCCACAUAGAAUUAUGCUUAGAAGAUACAAGUACAACUGGACUUCUGGGUAUAAAAGAAAAAUGCUGGGUCUUCUAGAUACAAUUCCUGACUUAAGGUAAGAUGUGCAUUUCCAUACAAAACUGACAGUAACACUUUGCAGAAUUCGAUAAAUAGUUAAGUCCUACACCAUGUCUUCAUUGUUGACAUUUUAUAGAUCAAGUUCUACUUUUUAAUUGUUGCCAUACGCCCAUAUCUAAUUGUUAAAAAUGAAUAGCAUAGAAACGUUGAACCUGACUAUUUUAUAGACCAGCACUACAACUUUUUUACAAUCUAUUGGAUUUGCACGAAACUGUUUACUGCCCAGUUGUGAUUAAACAUAUACAAGAUGUCAAGAUCAAGUCUCUUCAACUCUCCUUCACUUGUCAGUACAUUUUUUGUUUUCCUUCCGUGGUAACAGCUAGGUUUCCACUGACUUUGCAUUAACAGCUAUUACUAUUCAAAAAUUAUGCCUAGGAAAAUGCCAUCUUAGAAACACUGCAUAUUUACUUCCUUCUGAAAAAUUAAAUUAUUGUCGUUCAUUGUGUGUCUAUGUUAAGCAGGGUUCGAAGUUAGUGCUGUUUGAGAUAAUUAUGAUAGUUCUGCAGGAUUAGAACUGACUGAUACAUGAUAUCUGUAACAACUGAAUAGAUUCCAGAAGUUUUGAGAUUUCCAAUAUGUUUGACCUUUAGCCUUGAUGCUUAACUUCAUUAUUUAAGUUGGGAUGAAAAGUUAGUUCAACUUUGAAAGGCCAUCUCUUGGGUUAGGCAUCCUAACUGAAGCAAUGCUUUGGAAGAGUUAAUUCGAGCGGUUUAGGUGUUUUUUUUAUCAGGUCCCACUCUUAUGUCUAUAUGUAAUAGACUAUAGGUAUCCAUUGUAAGGGCACGAUACAGGCUCAUAACUGUAUCACUUGGGUUUCUACCCCUCCCCUUUUCUUCUUCAUAUAUUGAUGCGUAGUUCGCAUGCGCGUUCAAGGAAAAAA